rnacentral:rRNA from 1 species
UACGUAGGGUGCAAGCGUUGUCCGGAAUUAUUGGGCGUAAAGAGCUCGUAGGCGGUCUGUUGCGUCGGCUGUGAAAACCCGGGGCUCAACCCCGGGCCUGCAGCCGAUACGGGCAGACUAGAGUUCGGCAGGGGAGACUGGAAUUCCUGGUGUAGCGGUGAAAUGCGCAGAUAUCAGGAGGAACACCGGUGGCGAAGGCGGGUCUCUGGGCCGAUACUGACGCUGAGGAGCGAAAGCGUGGGGAGCGAAUAGG